UACGAAGGGGGCUAGCGUUGUUCGGAAUCACUGGGCGUAAAGCGCACGUAGGCGGAUCGUUAAGUCGGGGGUGAAAUCCCGAGGCUCAACCUCGGAACUGCCUUCGAUACUGGCGAUCUUUGAAUCCGGGAGAGGGAUGCGGAAUUCCAGGUGUAGCGGUGAAAUGCGUAGAUAUCUGGAGGAACACCGGUGGCGAAGGCGGCAUCCUGGACCGGCAUUGACGCUGAGGCGCGAAAGCCAGGGGAGCAAACGGG
rnacentral:rRNA from 1 species